rnacentral:lncRNA from 1 species
AUUAUUAAUUUCGAUUUUGUGCCUCUGAUUCGCUGAUAGUGUAACGAUCCGACUAGCUAACAAUAAUAACUGAUUGGACCCAAAUCAUCGGCCCAAAAUAUUUAAGUUUAGCUAUUAUUACUAGUGUGUAGGUCUUUUAUACUUUAAUCAGAACCAUUCUUUCAUCCGACCCGCUAUCAAGGGACGAUAAGAAGAGGAUUUGAUAGCUAAAAA